GGGUCAGUAGGUUGGUCGUGCCACCGGUACGUACUGGUCUCACUGAUUCCUCCUUCCUGAAGAACCGUAAUGCCAUUAAUUUGGUGUUGCGGGGGAACAGGACCGUUACUUUGAAAAAAUUAGAGUGUUUAAAGCAAGCUAACGCUUGAAUACAUUAGCAUGGAAUAAUGAAAUAGGACGAUCGAUCCUAUUUUGUUGGUUUCUAGGAUUGACGUA
rnacentral:rRNA from 1 species